GUUAGGAGCCUUGCUUUACCUUGGUCAGGAGUUUCAAAAGGUGUUCCUUUUACUGCAUGCAAAAAUACAUACAUCCCCAGAUUAUGUAUAAUAUUUGUUAAGGUCCAAGCAACAGGAACACUGAAGAAAGGAAUGCUGAGUAAGACAAUAUGGAAGCAGAAUACAACAGACACUAGUAUGGCAGUAUGUAAAAACGUGGAUGUGUAACCAAUGUGAUUCUGCAAUCUGUAUACGGGGUAAAAAUGGGAGUUCAUAACCCACUUGAAUCAAAUGUAUGAGAUAUGAUAUGUCAAGAGCUUUGUAAUGUUUUGAACAACUAAUAAUAAAAAUAAAUAAAUAAAUAAUUGGGAAAAAAAGACAAUAUGGAGCAAGCCAACUCCCAAUGCAUAUGUCAGCCACAUACCCCGGUUGUUCAUUACACGGGUAUUUGGAUUCACUUCACUGUGGGCAACUCCAACAUUCAUGUUUGCUCCG
rnacentral:lncRNA from 1 species